rnacentral:rRNA from 1 species
ACGGCUCAGUAACACGUGGAUAACCUGCCCUUGGGUCCGGCAUAACCCCGGGAAACUGGGGAUAAUUCCGGAUAACGCACAUAUGCUGGAAUGCUUUUUGCGUAAAAUGGAUUCGUCUGCCCAAGGAUGGGUCUGCGACCUAUCAGGUAGUAGUGGGUGUAAUGUACCUACUAGCCUACGACGGGUACGGGUUGUGAGAGCAAGAGCCCGGAGAUGGAUUCUGAGACAUGAAUCCAGGCCCUACGGGGCGCAGCAGGCGCGAAAACUUUACAAUGCGGGAAACCGUGAUAAGGGGACACCGAGUGCCAGCGUCAUACGCUGGCUGUCCAGGUGUGUAAAAUACACCUGUUAGCAAGGGCCGGGCAAGACCGGUGCCAGCCGCCGCGGUAACACCGGCGGCCCGAGUGGUGAUCGUGAUUAUUGGGUCUAAAGGGUCCGUAGCCGGUUUGGUCAGUCCUCCGGGAAAUCUGACAGCUCAACUGUUAGGCUUUCGGAGGAUACUGCCAGACUUGGAACCGGGAGAGGUAAGAGGUACUACAGGGGUAGGAGUGAAAUCUUGUAAUCCCUGUGGGACCACCUGUGGCGAAGGCGUCUUACCAGAACGGGUUCGACGGUGAGGGACGAAAGCUGGGGGCACGAACCGGAUUAGAUACCCGGGUAGUCCCAGCCGUAAACGAUGCUCGCUAGGUGUCAGGCAUGGCGCGACCGUGUCUGGUGCCGCAGGGAAGCCGUGAAGCGAGCCACCUGGGAAGUACGGCCGCAAGGCUGAAACUUAAAGGAAUUGGCGGGGGAGCAC